rnacentral:lncRNA from 1 species
CCGCCCGAUAAACAGAUCUACUCUAAGCCGGUACCAAUCCUUUCAUCGAUGGUUGGAUUGGGCCAAGAUUAAGAUUAGGUUGGAUCCAACAAGACAUUGUGUUUAUGCAUUGGAGUCACUGCCUUGAUUAAGUAUGACCUACCACUAUUCUAUUAUAAUGGCUUUCCAUAAUUGUUAUUGGUUGUUAUAACGAUUAUAGCAUCCUUUAUUUAUUUCAAAAGAUAAUUUUUAUAUUGUUGAUAUUAAAAGUAUUCGUUGAAAUAAUGGUUGUCAUAAUGGUUAUAAUGAAAAAUAAUGGAUAAUAAGAGAAAAAUAAUGGUGUUAUAUGUUUUUAUUAGAUAAAAUGAUAUAUUUUUUUACCAUAAAAUUACUUUUGGAGAGAAUUUUGAGAGAAAAUUUGAAAUUUGAAAAAAAAUAUUUUUAUUUAACAGUAAGUAAUUAAGAACAAA